CAAGCCAUGAGGUUGGAGUUGGGUUUUACAACUUCCUUCUUCCAGUAUCUAGUUCUUGCCCCUUGUCUCUCAGCUGGCAUUUCUGGUCUGGUUGCAGUUCUUUACCUGGUUGGGUGACUAAAUAUUAUUCCUAAAGUGUUCCCAGUAGUAUUAGCAGCAGCAGUAGCAACAGCAGCAAUAGGCAUUAGUAGUAAUGGCUAAGAGUGCGUAAAAGCAACCCUAGCAACCCUAUUUUCCCCUAAUAAUCAGAAUCAAUCAUCUCAGACCUUUAACUCUUCCCUUGUCCAUUGAGUCAGUGGUAUAAGGAGCUCAAGGUGGUUCCAUGGAAUUCUCAGUUUCCAGUUGAAUAGAACCAUUUUUGUGUGUGUGUGUGUGAGAAUUAAACUCAAUAAUCCAGCAGAGUUCAAAGUUACAGAAAGAGAAAACAAAAUUUUUACUGGGUGCAUUGUUGAGGUAACAGGGCAGGGAAUAUUCCCACUCCAGCCCCUUCGUUCUCAAAGCCAUGUGUCCUGACUAUUGUAGAAACAGCAUCAUGUAUUUAUUAGUCAUUAUUGCUAUCAAUUGCUAUUGGAAUAUAUUGUACAUCUUGUCAGAAGAUACCUUGGACUUGCAAGCUUUUAUGUGUAUGUGUUGGCUCUUCUUGUCCUCCCAGCAGGUGACGUACUGUUUCUUCAAUAGACCAUCGGGCUAUUUCAUUAAGACAGCAUCUUCAGACAAUGUGGUACAUGGUAGCACCAAUUUAAAUCAACAGACUGAAUAAACUACGAGAACCACUCCCACCUGCUUGAGGUCACAGUCACACCAGAAUCUCCGGUAAAGAUCUGGAAGCAAUGAGUGGUAGUAGGUAUUGAAUAAAAUUGUCAUUGCCUUACAAGAGGACACAUCAUUGAGGUCAUUUAGAAUCUUCAGGUGAAGGAAGACUGAUGUUCUCAAACAGAAAAGAUGGGCUGUUUCUGAUGGAAAUUAAGGAUCAAUGAGGAGACUGUUUUCCAUGGGUCUCUCACAUUUCUGGACAUCUUGCAAAUGAAGGCACUCACUGACUUUAUUUCAAAUUAUCUUUUGAAGGAUGUUUAUAUAGCAAAUGACAGAGAAAAUGUCUCUCUCUAGGGUGAAGACCAGAUAGAAUUACUGCUCAUUUUAAAAGAUUCAGGUACCCUAUGUUUAGAAUUCCUCUCUUGUACCCCACCCCAUUAUGUGUGCAGGUAUUACCCAGACUUCUUUGUAUUAUCCUGUAGAU
rnacentral:lncRNA from 1 species